rnacentral:rRNA from 1 species
CCUACGGGAGGCAGCAGUGCGGAAUAUUGGUCAAUGGACGCAAGUCUGAACCAGCCAUGCCGCGUGCAGGAAGACGGCUCUAUGAUUUGUAAACUGCUUUUGUACGAGGGUAAACGCAGAUACGCGUAUCUGUCUGACAGUCUCGUACGAAUAAGGAUCGGCUAACUCCGUGCCAGCAGCCGCGGUAAUACGGAAGGUCCGGGCGUUAUCCGGAUUUAGUGGGUUUAAAGGGAGCGUAGGCCGCAUGUCAAGCGUGAUGUGAAAUGUCCGGGCUCAACCCGAGCCUUGCAGCGAGAACUGGUGUGCUUGAGGCCGCGGAAAGCAGGCGGAAUUCGUGGUGUAGCGGUGAAAUGCUUAGAGAUGACGAAGAACCCCGAUUGCGAAGGCAGCUUGCUGGAGCGGAACUGACGCUGAUGCGCGAAAGCGCGGGUAUCGAACAGGAUUAGAUACCCCUGUAGUC